rnacentral:lncRNA from 1 species
AUCGUAACCAUGCUGUGAACAUCAUAAUGGAGUUGACUCUUCACCAGUCUGGAGAUGACACAGCCAUGGCCAUGGGCACAGCCAUGACACUAGGCAGCAGCUGGAGAACCCCAGUGACUGACAUGCCUUUAUCCGUGUGACCGAAGGCUUUCUGCAGAGCUUGAGUGCCCUGGUGGCAGCCUACAAUUAAUACUUCAAGCCAGAGUGCAAACUGGCUGACGAGAUGUCCAUCCCAAGGUGCUGGCCAAGCAUCAGGCUUCCAGACUGGCUCUCCAGAAACGCUCUGCAUCAUGGGAGGGGAGUCAGACGGAGAGGAAGGGUCAGUCUACCCCUAUCCCUACUCGCAACCAAGCACAUUUUCAGUCCCCAUCACAGCUCCAAAGGAAGGAAAAGCAAUUUUCUCCUGGGGAACCAGUGACAUUGGACUGAACUAGCAGAUGCUGGUGUGAAGACGUGGUGACAGGACCACUCAGCAAUGUGUAAACGUGAGGUGGCGGCAGCUGCUUAAUCACACCUGCACGAAUUCACAAUUGAUACACUCCAGUUAUUUCUAACUUUAAAUUCUGAAAUAAUUAUAGGCUCACAGAAAGUUGCAAAAAUAGCACAGAGAGGGUGGUGUAUGCCUUUUCCAUCCGGCUUCCUCCAGUAGUAACUAUACAAUAGAUCUAUGAUCCAUUGGUAGAAUACUGCUCACCAGACUGGAG